rnacentral:rRNA from 1 species
UACGUAGGGCGCGAGCGUUGUCCGGAUUUAUUGGGCGUAAAGAGCUCGUAGGCGGUUUGUCGCGUCUGCUGUGAAAACUCGGGGCUUAACCCCGGGCCUGCAGUGGGUACGGGCAGACUAGAGUGCGGUAGGGGAGACUGGAAUUCCUGGUGUAGCGGUGAAAUGCGCAGAUAUCAGGAGGAACACCGGUGGCGAAGGCGGGUCUCUGGGCCGUAACUGACGCUGAGGAGCGAAAGCGUGGGGAGCGAACAGG